UUCAACUUCUCUUUCUUCAUCUCCAUUUUCAUCCUAAUCUAGCCAUUAUACAAGAAUGGAUGAACUACAAUUACUACACUAUCCUACACUAAGGAAAUGGAAGAACUACAUUUCUGCACUCUUCAAGCUUCUCCCGUAUGCUUUCUCAAUGUCCUGGUUGCUCCCUAUAUAAACUGCUGCAAAAGCUCCUUUUCCAUUGGUCCAAAUUUGCUGCAUUUGAUUUCCAAAUCUGAAAUUGUUAAGAUAGUCAAUAGCCAUUGUUUUUGACUUGAAAAUAUGCCAACUUUCUUGCCCUUUUGUCUUCUAAAGCAUG
rnacentral:lncRNA from 1 species